CGGGGGGGGUGCUAUACAUGCAAGUCGAGCGGACAGAAGGGAGCUUGCUCCCGGAUGUUAGCGGCGGACGGGUGAGUAACACGUGGGUAACCUGCCUGUAAGACUGGGAUAACUCCGGGAAACCGGAGCUAAUACCGGAUAGUUCCUUGAACCGCAUGGUUCAAGGAUGAAAGACGGUUUCGGCUGUCACUUACAGAUGGACCCGCGGCGCAUUAGCUAGUUGGUGGGGUAAUGGCUCACCAAGGCGACGAUGCGUAGCCGACCUGAGAGGGUGAUCGGCCACACUGGGACUGAGACACGGCCCAGACUCCUACGGGAGGCAGCAGUAGGGAAUCUUCCGCAAUGGACGAAAGUCUGACGGAGCAACGCCGCGUGAGUGAUGAAGGUUUUCGGAUCGUAAAGCUCUGUUGUUAGGGAAGAACAAGUGCGAGAGUAACUGCUCGCACCUUGACGGUACCUAACCAGAAAGCCACGGCUAACUACGUGCCAGCAGCCGCGGUAAUACGUAGGUGGCAAGCGUUGUCCGGAAUUAUUGGGCGUAAAGGGCUCGCAGGCGGUUUCUUAAGUCUGAUGUGAAAGCCCCCGGCUCAACCGGGGAGGGUCAUUGGAAACUGGGAAACUUGAGUGCAGAAGAGGAGAGUGGAAUUCCACGUGUAGCGGUGAAAUGCGUAGAGAUGUGGAGGAACACCAGUGGCGAAGGCGACUCUCUGGUCUGUAACUGACGCUGAGGAGCGAAAGCGUGGGGAGCGAACAGGAUUAGAUACCCUGGUAGUCCACGCCGUAAACGAUGAGUGCUAAGUGUUAUGGGGUUUCCGCCCCUUAGUGCUGCAGCUAACGCAUUAAGCACUCCGCCUGGGGAGUACGGUCGCAAGACUGAAACUCAAAGGAAUUGACGGGGGCCCGCACAAGCGGUGGAGCAUGUGGUUUAAUUCAAAGCAACGCGAAGAACCUUACCAGUCUUGACAUCCUCUGACAACCCUAGAGAUAGGGCUUUCCCUUCGGGACAGAGUGACAGGUGCUGCAUGGUGGUCGUCAGCUCUGUCAUGAGAUGUUGGUUAAGUCCGCAACUAGCGCAACCCUUGAUCUUAGUGCCAGCAUUCCAUUGGGCACUCUAAGGUGGACUGUCG
rnacentral:rRNA from 1 species